rnacentral:rRNA from 1 species
CAGCCGCCGCGGUAAUACAGAGGAUUUAAGCGUUAUCCGGAAUGAUUGGGCGUAAAGGGCUCGCAGGCGGUUUCUUAAGUCUGAUGUGAAAGCCCCCGGCUCAACCGGGGAGGGUCAUUGGAAACUGGGAAACUUGAGUGCAGAAGAGGAGAGUGGAAUUCCACGUGUAGCGGUGAAAUGCGUAGAGAUGUGGAGGAACACCAGUGGCGAAGGCGACUCUCUGGUCUGUAACUGACGCUGAGGAGCGAAAGCGUGGGGAGCGAACAGGAUUAGAUACCCGCGUAGUCCCUGUCUCUUAUAC